GCAGCGCGGGGCAACCUGGCGGCGAGUGGCGAACGGGUGAGUAAUAUAUCGGAACGUGCCCUGGAGUGGGGGAUAACGCAGCGAAAGUUGCGCUAAUACCGCAUACGAUCUAAGGAUGAAAGCGGGGGAUUCGCAAGAACCUCGUGCUCCUGGAGCGGCCGAUAUCUGAUUAGCUAGUUGGUGGGGUAAAGGCCUACCAAGGCAUCGAUCAGUAGCUGGUCUGAGAGGACGACCAGCCACACUGGAACUGAGACACGGUCCAGACUCCUACGGGAGGCAGCAGUGGGGAAUUUUGGACAAUGGGCGAAAGCCUGAUCCAGCAAUGCCGCGUGAGUGAAGAAGGCCUUCGGGUUGUAAAGCUCUUUUGUCAGGGAAGAAACGGUGAAGGCUAAUAUCCUUUGCUAAUGACGGUACCUGAAGAAUAAGCACCGGCUAACUACGUGCCAGCAGCCGCGGUAAUACGUAGGGUGCAAGCGUUAAUCGGAAUUACUGGGCGUAAAGCGUGCGCAGGCGGUUUUGUAAGUCUGUCGUGAAAUCCCCGGGCUCAACCUGGGAAUUGCGAUGGAGACUGCAAGGCUAGAAUCUGGCAGAGGGGGGUAGAAUUCCACGUGUAGCAGUGAAAUGCGUAGAGAUGUGGAGGAACACCGAUGGCGAAGGCAGCCCCCUGGGUCAAGAUUGACGCUCAUGCACGAAAGCGUGGGGAGCAAACAGGAUUAGAUACCCUGGUAGUCCACGCCCUAAACGAUGUCUACUAGUUGUCGGGUUUUAAUUAACUUGGUAACGCAGCUAACGCGUGAAGUAGACCGCCUGGGGAGUACGGUCGCAAGAUUAAAACUCAAAGGAAUUGACGGGGANCCGCACAAGCGGNGGAUGAUGUGGAUUAAUUCGAUGCAACGCGAAAAACCUUACCUACCCUUGAC
rnacentral:rRNA from 1 species